UACAGGGGGUGCAAACGUUGCUCGGAAUCAUUGGGCGUAAAGCGCACGUAGGCGGUUCGUUAUGUCGGAUGUGAAAGCCCUUGGCUUAACCGAGGAAGUGCAUCCGAAACUGGCGAGCUAGAGUACGAAAGAGGAUCGCGGAAUUCCCGGUGUAGAGGUGAAAUUCGUAGAUAUCAGGAGGAACACCGGUGGCGAAGGCGGGUCUCUGGGCCGAAACUGACGCUGAGGAGCGAAAGCGUGGGGAGCGAACAGG
rnacentral:rRNA from 1 species